UUCCGGUUGAUCCUGCCGGAGAUCACUGCUAUUGGGGUUCGACUAAGCCAUGCGAGUCCAGAGUGGUAAUGCACUCGGCAAACGGCUCAGUAACACGUGGGUAACCUACCCUUAGGACAGGAAUAACCCCGGAAAACUGGGGAUAAUGCCUGAUAGGUGGAGAAGUCUGGAACGGGUCUCCGCUCAAAUGCUCCGGCGCCUGAGGAUGGGCCUGCGACCGAUUAGGUUGUUGGUGGUGUAAUGGACCACCAAGCCUGAGAUCGGUACGGGCACUGAGAGGUGUAGCCCGGAGAUGGGGACUGAGACACGGCCCCAGGCCCUACGGGGCGCAGCAGGCGCGAAAACUCCGCAAUACACGAAAGUGUGACGGGGGAACCCCGAGUGCACUCACGCAAGUGAGUGCUUUUGUGAAGUGUAAAUAGCUUCACGAAUAAGAGCUGGGUAAGACCGGUGCCAGCCGCCGCGGUAACACCGGCAGCUCGAGUGGUGAUCACUAUUAUUGGGCCUAAAGCGUCCGUAGCCGGUUUGGUAAGUCCUUGGGCAAAUCCUGUCGCUUAACGGCAGGAAUUCUGAGGAUACUGUCAGACUUGAGGCCGAGAGAGGUCGGAGGUACUUCUGGGGUAGCGGUGAAAUGCUAUAAUCCUAGAGGGACCACCGGUGGCGAAGGCGUCCGACUAGAGCGGGCCUGACGGUAAGGGGACGAAAGCCAGGGGAGCGAACGGGAUUAGAUACCCCGGUAGUCCUGGCCGUAAACGCUGUGGGCUAGGUGUUGCAUGCUCUACGAGGGCGUGCAGUGCGAAGAGAAGUUGAUAAGCCUACCGCCUGGGAAGUACUAUCGCAAGAUAGAAACUUAAAGGAAUUGGCGGGGGAGCACUACAAGGGGUGAAGUCUGGCGGUUCAUUGCAUCACGCGGGUAAUCUC
rnacentral:rRNA from 1 species